CGGAAUCAAUUUAUUAACAUUGUUUUGUUAUCCAGCUGGUAGCUUGAUAUAAUUUAAAUAUUUAAUUUAAUUAAUUAUUUGAAUAUUUAAACAUGAAAUACAAUCGGUAAAUUCAGUUUAAAUGAGAAUUGAUGUGCUUCGUCUCUCAGAGAAUUAUCCCGUACGGUUCACAGAAACGAGCGUCUCAGACGACACAUUUGGACGACACCAAUUUUGACACCACAGUAGUGGCAAUGGAAAGUAAUGCAGAUACUCUUGAAGAUAUAACAGAUAAUAAGCAGGGCAUGAACGAAGUAUGGAGGAUCUGUUUGAAAAUUCCAGACAUGAGAAAGAAAAUGACAGGGAGAGAUGUCCAGUUCAACGUUACCAGGACAAUUCAGCAAAGUUCCAACAGAUAUAAAAAAUCUGAAUUUGAGGCAAAUAUAUACUGUCAUGUAUAUAUAUACACAUGAUAUAAGAUGGAUAAAGUACAUGAUACUUUAGCAGUGCUUCAGAGAAUCACAUUUGGCUACAGAAGUUUGUAGUAUUUUGGUUGUAAUCAAGUUAUUAAGCUGAAGCUUCAUAGUAAAACAGAUCUAGGCUACACCUUCACUAUUCAAGUCAGACUUUAAAAGGAAGCCUUUUUUGUUGAUAGCUGAACAUAUGAAGAAACUUUCAAAAGAGUGGAGCAUUUAGAAGACGGAACAAUCAAAUAUUAUUUGUUACUAUUUCAGUAACUUUUCAAAUGUUAACUGUUUAGAAUAUUCUUAAAUAUAAAUAUAAUUGAAUUUAA